CCUUAACCCCGAUAGUAGCGACUACCCCACAGUAAAGUGGGAGAGUUGGGGGAUUGUGAAUUGGCGAACGCUGGAACGAGGAGUAUGAGCGGAUAGCGGGAUUAAGC
rnacentral:misc_RNA from 1 species